AGUUAUAAUAAUUUAAAAAAAAUAAUGGUCUUGUAAGCCAUUCAUGGUUCCCCUUAUAACUUC
rnacentral:tRNA from 1 species